rnacentral:rRNA from 1 species
AAGGUCAGCGGCGGACGGGUGAGUAACACGUGGGCAACCUGCCUGUAAGACUGGGAUAACUUCGGGAAACCGGAGCUAAUACCGGAUAAUAUAAGGAACCUCCUGGUUCUUUAUUGAAAGAUGGUUUCGGCUAUCACUUACAGAUGGGCCCGCGGCGCAUUAGCUAGUUGGUGAGGUAACGGCUCACCAAGGCGACGAUGCGUAGCCGACCUGAGAGGGUGAUCGGCCACACUGGGACUGAGACACGGCCCAGACUCCUACGGGAGGCAGCAGUAGGGAAUCUUCCACAAUGGACGAAAGUCUGAUGGAGCAACGCCGCGUGAGCGAUGAAGGCCUUC